AGCAGAGCUCCCCUCUGGGCAUGGUGGGGGGGGGAGCUGCCCUCUGCAGCGUUCCUAGCAGACUCCCUUUCCUCCUCUGCGCUCUCUGCCUGCCUGUCCCCUCCAGCCACCUGAAAUGUGUGGUGAAGCUUCAGCUGCUUCCUGAGAGCCUCCGACCACAUGGCCCGGCUCCUCCAGGCCCUGAAGCGGAGCUGGCCUUCAGACUGGACCGAUCUACUCUCUCGUUUUCAGCUGUUUUGGGCCACAGGGUGAAAACUGUCCUGUACCUCGAAGUUUUUCAUCUGGAAUGGAGACGAUUCCUCUCUGAAAGCACUGCUAGGAGCUGAACUGUAUGCCCCCCAAAGGUGUAUUGAACUCCUAAUCCCUAGUACCUGUGCAUGUGACCUUAUUUAGAAAUAGGGUCCGUGUAGAUGUAAUCGGUUAAGGGGAGAUCAGAGUGUGCCUUGAUCUAAUACAUCUGGUGUCCUUCUGAGAGGAGGGACCCUGGGACCGAGACAUACACAGAGAGGAAAACACCCUGUGAAGACAAAGACACGGAGGGAAGACAGCUCUAGGAAUAUCAAGAAGAGGGAGACGCUGGCAUUAGGCUCCACGAGUCCAGAAAUGCCGGGGGCCAAGAGAAGCUGGAAGGAGCAAGAGAGGAUCCUCCCCUAGAGCCUGCAGAGAGAGCAUGGCCCUCCCGACACCCUGAUUUUGGACUUCCACGCUCCAGAACUGUAAGAGAAUAAAUCCCUGACUCAGUUUGUGCAACUUUGUUAUGUAACACUGAGAAACCAACACAGAGAUUGUAUAUACACAAUGGACUCAGUGUGCGGCAUAAGAUGGGCACCUAAAGUGGGUAUUCUGGAGGCCGCAUUGGCUACUGGGGAGAUUGCUUACUUGGCCAAAGGAGCAAAGGAGAAGGCUAAGCUCUUUAAUAUGCACACAGGAUGCUUCAGAUGCAUGUUUUCAAAGGGUAGCUCUCCCAUUUAUUCAGAGACCUUGGUGUUUCACACAAGGGAAAAUGGAGCAGCCCAUGUGGGCCCUCAGCCACUAGAGGGCAUUUGAAGGACACCAGAUCAAUAGAAGCUGACCUCCUGUGGUCAACCAAAGGCCACAUAUACUGUAUGACCCACUGUGAGAAAGUAGGAAAUAAAUGACUCAAAC
rnacentral:lncRNA from 1 species